UUUUUUUAUUGUUUUAUACAAUAAACAAUGUAUAUUCACUUUUACUACCAACCAAUCUUUACCAUUCAGUGAUAACAAGCACUUUAUUUUACAUUUUAAUAUUUUAUGAUGUAUUUAAAAGAGUAGUUAUUGUUGCAAACUCCAUUAGAAAUUUGAAUUGAUAUCAGUUUUGGAAAAAGGGAAACGGGGAUGUGAAAAAAAAGGGGGGAGGGGUUUAAAUUUUUCUCAUUUCAGAUUUCAUAAAUAAAAAGAAAAUUUCUUCAAACAUUUUUUUUGAGAGGAUUAAUAUUCAACAGCAUAGUGAAUUGCUCAAAGGCAAAAAAAAAACUUUUAAGUUCAUUAGACCACAUUCAUUCUGUGUCAGAAACCUAUGCUGUGUCAACUAUUUAAUUUUAGAUUUAAAAAGUUUGAAGAAGAAAUCUUUAAUUGAUUUGUAAAAUCUUGACAUUUGUUUUGUGUAAAAAAAACCAUGUAAUGUCAAAAAUUUGAUCACAAUCCAAAUUCAGAGCUGUAUCACGCUUGAAUGUUUUGUCCAUACUUGCCCAA
rnacentral:lncRNA from 1 species